AGAGAGAGACAUGCGCGCAUAUCAAUAAGCGGAGGAAAAGAAACUAACAAGGAUUCCCCUAGUAACGGCGAGUGAAGCGGGAAGAGCUCAAAUUUGAAAUCUUAAAGGGUUUCCCUUUACGAAUUGUAGUUUAAAGAAGUGUUUUCUGUUGAGGUUUUGGUAAAAGUUCUUUGGAAUAGGACAUCAUAGAGGGUGAGGAAUCCCGUAUUUGACCUUUACUUUCAACUUUGUGAUACACUUUCAAAGAGUCGGAUUGUUUGGGAAUGCAGUCCAAAAUGGGUGGUAAAUUUCAUCUAAAGCUAAAUAUUGGCGAGAGACCGAUAGCGAACAAGUACCGUGAGGGAAAGAUGAAAAGAACUUUGAAAAGAGAGUUAAACAGUACGUGAAAUUGUCAAAAGGGAAGCGUUUGACACCAGUGUUGUUUUUCUGAAAAUCAAUUAAAGAACUGUUUAUGCUAAGUUGUUUAGACUUUAUCAGCUAACUGUUUAGUUUUGAGCUUUUCUUUAAUGCACUUUUCAGUUAACAAGUCAACAUCAAUUUCUUUUGCUGUAAAAAAGCUUGAGGAAGGUGGCUUGAGAUUCGUCUUAAGUGUUUAUAGCCUCUUGCCUAUGCAGUCGGAGAGAUUGAGGUCUGCAGCGUAGAUCCUUCGGGGCUAAAUGCAUUUGUGCUAAGUUAUAGCAUUUUAUAGACAACUUGUUGACUAUGAUUUGUCUUGUAGCUUACUCGCUUAUGUUACUAUACCUACGCUUAGGAUGUUGACGCAUGAGAUAUACGC
rnacentral:rRNA from 1 species